rnacentral:lncRNA from 1 species
UUCCAGACCCUUCCCUACCUUCCAGAUCCUGACCAACCUACCUGUGAGAAACAAGAUAGCUUCAGGGAGCUCCCUGAAGCAGAAAAAAAGCCAGCUCUUCUGGGGUCUUCCCUCUCUACACAGUGAGUCCUUGGAGACUAUUUUCCUGAGCUCAGAUGGCCCCUCUCCACUAAAGUUGUCUAUUUGUCCCUCUGUCUUCUUCAACAAGGUUCCCUUCCUGCCGGUGUACAA